CUCCCAUUUCUAGAAAACUGCUCCCAUCAGUAAACCAUUCGACCUUAGGGCUGUCAAGAGGCUCAUCUAGAAGAUCAGGCCUGCUGGAAGCAUCAUAUAGAGGUUUUGCUACAAGGCCGUAAUUUGGAAUCCAGAUACGACGGAACCCAGCCAUCCGGAGAAAGCCUCGGAGUUGCCUCUUUGUGGUUGGAGACAGUAAUAAAUAGCCAGCUCUAGUGAUACAGGCUGCAACAUGGGACCUUUUGCUGCGGUGCUGCAGUGCUUGCACCUGGACACCCCUCUCCUCCAGCAACAAAAUACAAAGAAAUUG